rnacentral:rRNA from 1 species
UUAUUUGAAAUAGGAUACAACCUCCACCACUGGGUAAAGGGGAAAUAAUAAAAACAAAGUGGGCCCAAAAGCAGCCACCUAUAAAAAAGCGUCAAAGCUUGACUUUUAUAAUCCAUAAUUACUAAAACAUCCACUAACCCAUCACUUCUACUGAACCAUUUUAUAUUAUUAUAAAAACGAUUAUGCUAGAACUAGUAACAAGAACUUGCCAUUCUCCACAAUGCAAAUAUAAACCAAAACGGACUCCCCAUUGGUGAUCAACGUAAAUGCAAAACCAUAACAACACACAAACCAGAAAACCUUAUGGUCACUGACACGUUACCCUAACACUAGAGCAUUACAGGAAAGAUUAAAAGAAAGA